UACGGAGGGUGCGAGCGUUGUCCGGAAUCACUGGGCGUAAAGGGCGCGUAGGCGGCGCGACAAGUCAACGGUGAAAGCUCGGGGCUCAACCCCGAGUCGGCCGUCGAUACUGUUGGGCUGGAGCACUGUAGAGGCAGGUGGAAUUCCGGGUGUAGCGGUGGAAUGCGUAGAGAUCCGGAAGAACACCGGUGGCGAAGGCGGUUAGCUGGGCAGUUGCUGACACUGAGGCGCGACAGCGUGGGGAGCAAACAGG
rnacentral:rRNA from 1 species